rnacentral:tRNA from 1 species
GGCUGAAAAGCUCAAUGGUAAGAGCAGUCGCCAGCAAGCGAAAGACUCGGGUUCGAUUCCCGAUUCAGCGA